UACGUAGGGGGCAAGCGUUGUCCGGAUUUAUUGGGCGUAAAGAGCGUGUAGGCGGCCAUACAGGUCCGUUGUGAAAACUGGAGGCUUAACCUCCAGACGUCGAUGGAAACCGUAUGGCUAGAGUCCGGAAGAGGAGAGUGGAAUUCCUGGUGUAGCGGUGAAAUGCGUAGAUAUCUGGAGGAACACCGGUGGCGAAGGCGGCAUCCUGGACCGACACUGACGCUGAGGAGCGAAAGCCAGGGGAGCAAACGGG
rnacentral:rRNA from 1 species